GACGAACGCUGGCGGCGUGCUUAACACAUGCGAGUCGAACGGAAAGGCCCUGCUUUUGCGGGGUGCUCGAGUGGCGAACGGGUGAGUAACACGUGAGUAACCUGCCCUUGACUUUGGGAUAACUUCAGGAAACUGGGGCUAAUACCGGAUAGGAGCUCCUGCUGCAUGGUGGGGGUUGGAAAGUUUCGGCGGUUGGGGAUGGACUCGCGGCUUAUCAGCUUGUUGGUGGGGUAGUGGCUUACCAAGGCUUUGACGGGUAGCCGGCCUGAGAGGGUGACCGGCCACAUUGGGACUGGGAUACGGCCCAGACUCCUACGGGAGGCAGCAGUGGGGAAUAUUGCACAAUGGGCGGAAGCCUGAUGCAGCAACGCCGCGUGCGGGAUGACGGCCUUCGGGUUGUAUACCGCUUUCGCCUGUGACGAAGCGUGAGUGACGGUAAUGGGUAAAGAAGCACCGGCUAACUACGUG
rnacentral:rRNA from 1 species